AUGCAGUCUGACAGUAGUAACUUCAUUUGCUUAGAUGCUCACGGUAUUGCAGAGAAUGGCUCAUUUUUCAGCCCAAUUGUGACACAUAUCAUACCAGGCCAAAGUACUUUCCUUUUAGAUUUAUUAUUCCACAGGUCCAUAAUGCCCAUCAUCAGUAUCAUCCAAAGGGGUGACAUACUUUCUCGCAGGGGCGGAGGCAGAGGGUGGACAGGGUGCACACACACCACAUGGUUCUUUCUGGUUGGUUCGCAUCCCCGUCUCCCCGACACCCACCCACUCAGCCGUCCCAUCCCCGCUGCCUCGUUUUUUGUCGCUGGUCGCUGGUCGUCGCCCAGGAGGCAUCCCGCUCUCGCCUCCUUUCCGCCCGCGCCAACCGCGCCCCCUGUGAACUGUGGCGGCCCUGCCCUGCGCGGCUUCGCCGGUACCCCCGGCCGCCUGGCACACCUACAAAGACGAUGGCAGCCGCCAAAGAGACAUCCGAGACAUGAACGAGGGAAAAAUGAGAACGUCGGCCACUAUUGGCUCAAGCUCAGGAGGUGGUCGAAAGCCCGGCUCCACAUGGUCCUAGCACUACUGUCACACAUGGUCUUUGGGUCACUUCCACCAGUGCUCUGCGGGUUGUCGUUCCGUGAGAGCAAUGACGGGGAGAACAAGAUGAUGAAUGUCGCCGAUGCUUCGCUCGCCUGCAUCGCGCUGCUUGCGCUCGGGACGUGCAUGUCCACAGAAGAGCCAUGCCAUACUUCAAGACUCUAA
rnacentral:rRNA from 1 species